CGAACGCUGGCGGCGUGCUUACCACAUGCAAAUCGAACGGAAAGGCCCCUUUGGGGGUACUCGAGUGGCGAAAGGGUGAGUAACACGUGAGUAACCUGCCCUUGACUUCGGGAUAACUUCAGGAAACUGGGGCUAAUACCGGAUAGGAAUCCUUGCUGCAUGGUGGGGGUUGGAAAGCUUCGGCGGUUUUGGAUGGACUCGCGGCUUAUCAGCUUGUUGGUGGGGUAGUGGCUUACCAAGGCUUUGACGGGUAGCCGGCCUGAGAGGGCGACCGGCCACAUUGGGACUGAGAUACGGCCCAGACUCCUACGGGAGGCAGCAGUGGGGAAUAUUGCACAAUGGGCGGAAGCCUGAUGCAGCAACGCCGCGUGCGGGAUGACGGCCUUCGGGUUGUAAACCGCUUUCAGCAGGGGCGAAGCUUGUGGUGACGGUACCUGCAGAAGAAGCACCGGCUAACUACGUG
rnacentral:rRNA from 1 species